rnacentral:lncRNA from 12 species
UGUCUUAUUCAAUUAAGUGGUCUGAGUAAAAUAAUAUUGUCUUAGGUUUUGUUGUUAUUAAUUUACAGGCUGGCGAUUGGAUUUCAUUCUUUCAACUUCUAGAGUCCUUUCAACUAAUACAGAAUUUAAUCAUGAGACAAAGAACCCUGAACAGACUGAAGCGAUGUCAAGUGGUGACUGGAAUACUGAAAUUAGCACAAAGUUUGUUGGCCAAGAGUUGUUUUCUGAGAGCUGUUGCUUCCUGAGAAGGCUUGGUGGCCAUCCUUCUCCACGUAGGCAGAACCAGGGUGCCUAGGCCUGAGUUUGCUGGCAGCUGGCUCACCUGAAGGUCAGAAACAGCUUCCUGGGACUACAGACAACGGUGAGUGCCCAUGUGAGGCCAGGUGCUUUGAUAGCCCUGUCUCCUGGAGAAACUCGUUUUCUGAUUUUCCAGUCAGCCCUGUCAUUCUUUGAGACAUAACUUCUAAGGAACUGCCAAACAUCUACCUCUUCUUUUUACACUUUUUUUGCACCCUGCCUAUAGCCAGAAUACCUCUGUAAAUAAAUGACAUCUCGCUUUUGCUUUGUGCA